AUGCAAGUCGAACGGAAAGGCCCUGCUUGCAGGGUACUCGAGUGGCGAACGGGUGAGUAACACGUGGGUGAUCUGCCCUGCACUUCGGGAUAAGCCUGGGAAACUGGGUCUAAUACCGGAUAGGAGCCAUUUUUAGUGUGAUGGUUGGAAAGUUUUUCGGUGUAGGAUGAGCUCGCGGCCUAUCAGCUUGUUGGUGGGGUAAUGGCCUACCAAGGCGGCGACGGGUAGCCGGCCUGAGAGGGUGGACGGCCACAUUGGGACUGAGAUACGGCCCAGACUCC
rnacentral:rRNA from 1 species